ACGGUACGGAGGCCGGCCGACAGGUCCGC
rnacentral:sRNA from 1 species